rnacentral:rRNA from 1 species
GAUGAACGCUGGCGGCGUGCCUAAUACAUGCAAGUCGAGCGAAGCGGGGACGGGUGCGUAACACGUGGAUAACCUCCUAUAAGACUGGGAUAACUUCGGGAAACCGGAGCUAAAACGGAUAAUUAUAGAUGGAUCCGCGCUGCCUUCGCUAGUUGGUAAGGUAACGGCUUACCAAGGCAACGAUGCAUAGCCGACCUGAGAGGGUGAGCGGCCACACUGGAACUGAGAAACGGUCCAGACUCCUAAGGGAGGCAGCAGUAGGGAAUCUUCCGCAAUGGGCGAAAGCCUGACGGAGCAACUCCGCGUGAGUGAUGAAGGUCUUCGGAUCUUAAAACUCUGUUAUUAGGGAAGCGGUACCUAAUCAGAAAGCCACGGCUAACUACGUGCCAGCAGCCGCGGUAAUUC